rnacentral:tRNA from 1 species
CGGGCUGUGGCCUAGCUUGGUCGAAGGCGCCACACUGGGGGUGUGGAGAACCCCGGUUCAAAUCCGGGCAGCCCGA